GUAGCGGCGAGUGAAGCGGCAAAAGCUCAAAUUUGAAAUCUGGCACUUUCAGUGUCCGAGUUGUAAUUUGAAGAAGGUAUCUUUGGGUCUGGCUCUUGUCUAUGUUUCUUGGAACAGAACGUCACAGAGGGUGAGAAUCCCGUGCGAUGAGAUGUCCCAGACCUAUGUAAAGUUCCUUCGAAGAGUCGAGUUGUUUGGGAAUGCAGCUCUAAGUGGGUGGUAAAUUCCAUCUAAAGCUAAAUAUUGGCGAGAGACCGAUAGCGAACAAGUACAGUGAUGGAAAGAUGAAAAGAACUUUGAAAAGAGAGUGAAAAAGUACGUGAAAUUGUUGAAAGGGAAGGGCUUGAGAUCAGACUUGGUAUUUUGUAUGUUACUCUCUCGGGGGUGGCCUCUACAGUUUACCGGGCCAGCAUCAGUUUGAGCGGUAGGAUAAGUGCAAAGAAAUGUGGCACUGCUUCGGUAGUGUGUUAUAGUCUUUGUCGAUACUGCCAGCUUAGACUGAGGACUGCGGCUUCGGCCUAGGAUGUUGGCAUAAUGAUCUUAAGUCGCCCGUCUUGAAACACGGACCAAGGAGUCUAACGUCUAUGCGAGUGUUUGGGUGUAAAACCCGUACGCGUAAUGAAAGUGAACGUAGGUAGGACCUCCUUUAGGAGUGCACUAUCGACCGAUCCUGAUGUCUUCGGAUGGAUUUGAGUAAGAGCAUAGCUGUUGGGACCCGAAAGAUGGUGAACUAUGCCUGAAUAGGGUGAAGCCAGAGGAAACUCUGGUGGAGGCUCGUAGCGGUUCUGACGUGCAAAUCGAUCGUCGAAUUUGGGUAUAGGGGCGAAAG
rnacentral:rRNA from 1 species